rnacentral:rRNA from 1 species
UACAGAGGUCUCAAGCGUUGUUCGGAUUCAUUGGGCGUAAAGGGUGCGUAGGUGGCGUGGCACGUCAGAUGUGAAAUCCCGGGGCUCAACCCCGGAACUGCAUUUGAAACUGCCUUGCUCGAGUACUGGAGAGGAGACUGGAAUUUACGGUGUAGCAGUGAAAUGCGUAGAUAUCGUAAGGAAGACCAGUGGCGAAGGCGAGUCUCUGGACAGUUACUGACACUGAGGCACGAAGGCCAGGGGAGCAAACGGG